CCUACGGGGGGCAGCAGUGAGGAAUAUUGGUCAAUGGCCGGAAGGCUGAACCAGCCAAGCCGCGUGAAGGACGAAGGUGCCAAGCAUUGUAAACUUCUUUUGUCAAGGGACAAAAUCAGGCUCGAGAGCCUGACCGAGGGUACUUGAAGAAAAAGCAUCGGCUAACUCCGUGCCAGCAGCCGCGGUAAUACGGAGGAUGCGAGCGUUAUCCGGAUUUAUGGGGUUUAAAGGGUGCGUAGGCGGACUUGUAAGUCAGCGGUAAAAGCCCGGGGCUAAACCCCGGCGCGCAGUUGAAACUGGGUGUCUUGAGAUGUCGAGAGGUAUGCGGAAUGCGCAGUGUAGCGGUGAAAUGCUUAGAUAUUGCGAAGAACUCCGAUGGCGAAGGCAGCAUACCGGCGGCGAUCUGACGCUGAGGCACGAAAGCGUGGGUAUCGAACAGGAUUAGAUACCCUAGUAGUC
rnacentral:rRNA from 1 species